rnacentral:SRP_RNA from 1 species
GUGUGCUAGGCGGGGAGUUAGCGGUGCCCUGAACCUGCAAGCCGCUAUAGCAGGGCUGAAUUCCUUACCAAGGGAUUUGAUGUCCGUGUAUGAUGUAUGCAAGUAGUGUUGAUAAUCAAGCCUAACGCAAUUGGCUACUGUGAACCUUGUCAGGACCGGGAGGUAGCAGCAAUAAGCAGACCAGCCAAUGUGCCGUUAGUUUACUUGGUUUGAGCCAACUACAUAUGUCUGCUCGGAAUAGAAUUUCGACGUAAGGUGCACAC